ACACUUCAACUUACUGUGCUCCCUGCUAGUUGAUUCACUUACUCACCCACUAACACUGAGCUCCUUUUACUGUCUGUGGGCUAAAAAGGGACGGAAAGCGCCAGGAAUAAGGGGGAGGAAGUGCAGUGCCAGGCUGUGCCCACCACGCCAGGGGAUAUUGUGCAUGGGCUGACUGGGCUAGCCGCUCUUCUGCUUUCAGCUGAUUUUAGUAAAUGCAGAAGAUUAAUGUGGCCAUCUAGGACAUGCUCCGCCAAUAAUAGCUUUGGAUUACAUUGGAAAACGGAAUAAAGUGACUCUUGAAGCGUCAAAAGAAGUUGUAGUCAGGAUUUCAAGCAGAAGACUUAAGAAAUACAAUGUGCUUCUGCUGUUGGGUUGCAAGACUUCAAAAGUUUCCAAUGUAGGGCAGGACAGAUACAGCUUUUAAUGAAUACAAUCACCUUGAUGCCCAAAACUGG